rnacentral:rRNA from 1 species
GGGAAAUUGUUGAAAGGGAAGCGCUUGCAACCAGACCUGCCUGCAGUUGCUCAUCCGGGCUUUUGCCCGGUGCACUCUUCUGCUGUCAGGCCAGCAUCGGUUCGGGCGGUCGGAUAAAGGCUUCGGGAAUGUAGCUCCUCUCGAGGAGUGUUAUAGCCCGUUGCGAAAUGCGGCCAGCCUGAACUGAGGUCCGCGCUUCGGCUAGGAUGCUGGCGUAAUGGUUGUAAGCGGCCCGUCUUGAAACACGGACCAAGGAGUCUAACAUCUGUGCGAGUGUUUGGGUGUCAAACCCGUACGCGUAAUGAAAGUGAACGGAGGCGGGAACCCCUCGGGGUGCACCGUCGACCGAUCCUGAUGUCUUCGGAUGGAUUUGAGUAAGAGCAUAGCUGUUGGGACCCGAAAGAUGGUGAACUAUGCCUGAAUAGGGUGAAGCCAGAGGAAACUCUGGUGGAGGCUCGCAGCGGUUCUGACGUGCAAAUCGAUCGUCAAAUUUGGGCAUAGGGGCGAAAGACUAAUCGAACUAUCUAGUAGCUGGUUCCUGCCGAAGUUUCCCUCAGGAUAGCAGUAACGUUUUCAGUUUUAUGAGGUAAAGCGAAUGAUUAGAGGCCUGGGGGUUGAAACAACCUUCACCUAUUCUCAAACUUUAAAUAUGUAAGAAGUCCUUGUUACUUAGUUGAACGUGGACAUUUGAAUGUAUCGUUACUAAUGGGCCAUUUUUGG